rnacentral:lncRNA from 1 species
AGAUCCUUCUAUAAUUUGUGACCAUACAGAGAUUUCCAUGAGUGUUAUAUAUUGAACUGGCUUUACAUUCUACACAACUGUUCUAGGCAAGUAUAUUUGUUUGAACUUUUAUUUCUUAUAUACAGAUGUAUGGUGCUUGGAGUUUUCUUUGCAUUAUUAUUAUCUGAAGGCAACUAGAGACGAGAUUGAAAAAAAUAUUCACUUCUUUAAUUUAAAUAUUAUUUAGAAAACAGCCACUUGGAAUUUUACCUAUCCUGAUUUUUAUUUCUUUU